rnacentral:rRNA from 1 species
GAUGAACGCUAGCUACAGGCUUAACACAUGCAAGUCGAGGGGAAACGACAUCGAAAGCUUGCUUUUGAUGGGCGUCGACCGGCGCACGGGUGAGUAACGCGUAUCCAACCUGCCCACCACUUGGGGAUAACCUUGCGAAAGUAAGACUAAUACCCAAUGAUAUCUCUAGAAGACAUCUGAAAGAGAUUAAAGAUUUAUCGGUGAUGGAUGGGGAUGCGUCUGAUUAGCUUGUUGGCGGGGUAACGGCCCACCAAGGCGACGAUCAGUAGGGGUUCUGAGAGGAAGGUCCCCCACAUUGGAACUGAGACACGGUCCAAACUCCUACGGGAGGCAGCCAGUGAGGAAUAUUGGUCAAUGGGCGAGAGCCUGAACCAGCCAAGUAGCGUGCAGGAUGACGGCCCUAUGGGUUGUAAACUGCUUUUA